GAUGAACGCUAGCUACAGGCUUAACACAUGCAAGUCGAGGGGCAGCGGUAUCGAAAGCUUGCUUUCGGUAGCCGGCGACCGGCGCACGGGUGAGUAACGCGUAUCGAACCUGCCUCAUACUCGGGAAUAGCCUUGCGAAAGUAAGAUUAAUGCCCGGUGUUUUCAGAGUCCCGCAUGAGGCUUUGAACAAAGAUUUAUCGGUAUGAGAUGGCGAUGCGUCCCAUUAGCUUGUUGGCGGGGUAACGGCCCACCAAGGCAUCGAUGGGUAGGGGUUCUGAGAGGAAGGUCCCCCACAUUGGAACUGAGACACGGUCCAAACUCCUACGGGAGGCAGCAGUGAGGAAUAUUGGUAAAUGGGCGGAAGCCUGAACCAGCCAAGUAGCGUGCAGGAAGACGGCCCUCCGGGUUGUAAACUGCUUUUAGUUGGGAAUAAAACGGGGCUCGUGAGCCCCCUUGCAUGUACCAUCAGAAAAAGGACCGGCUAAUUCCGUG
rnacentral:rRNA from 1 species